rnacentral:rRNA from 1 species
GACGAACGCUGGCGGCGUGCUUAACACAUGCAAGUCGAACGGAAAGGCCCUGCUUUUGUGGGGUGCUCGAGUGGCGAACGGGUGAGUAACACGUGAGUAACCUGCCCUUGACUUUGGGAUAACUUCAGGAAACUGGGGCUAAUACCGGAUAGGAGCUCCUGCUGCAUGGUGGGGGUUGGAAAGUUUCGGCGGUUGGGGAUGGACUCGCGGCUUAUCAGCUUGUUGGUGGGGUAGUGGCUUACCAAGGCUUUGACGGGUAGCCGGCCUGAGAGGGUGACCGGCCACAUUGGGACUGAGGUACGGCCCAGACGCCUACGGGAGGCAGCAGUGGGGAAUAUUGCACAAUGGGCGGAAGCCUGAUGCAGCAGCGCCGCGUGCGGGAUGACGGCCUUCGGGUUGUAAACCGCUUUCGCCUGUGACGAAGCGUGAGUGACGGUAAUGGGUAAAGAAGCACCGGCUAACUACGUG